rnacentral:lncRNA from 1 species
CCAAUUGUUGGCAAGAGUCAGAAAUAUGAAGUAAACGACUUGGUCUCUUCUGGAGAGUUAGAAAAAAGAAAGUAUCCUUCUGUAUAGGGGAAGGAAAGGCUCUCGCACUAGUUGUUCUGUAAGAAGGGCUUUCAUUAGCGUGAGAAGGCGGGUUUUCUGGAUGUUGGCAAAUGGGCAUGAGAAGGAGCAUCGUUCCAUGCUGGAGAUCCUUUACUAAACCCCUACCCUAACCAUUAUCAGAGCCUACCAUGAACCACGCUUUGUUUGUUUUUAUUUUUUGGGUUGUGCGAGCUCCGGCUACCGCUGGGGAGAGGGAAAGUUACGGAGCUACGCACUGGCGGAUAGAGACCAAUAAGGACACCUAAAGAUGAAGCAGGACGCCACACCAGAUAAGAGAAAGAUCAAAGCCCGAAGCCAGCAAAAGGAGUCCCAAGAUCCGCCGAAGGAGACAGACCUAAGGAACGAAAAAUAAAAAGGAGCGAAAACGAAAAGAAGGAAAAGAGGUAGAUUUCCCUAGACCCUCUAAUAGGAGCCCGCCCCAUGGGGAAAGGGACAAGAGGCUGGGGCCAAACUCCCCCGACACCGAUGAACUAACGGCUAUAGAUGGAUACCGGUAUCGCCAGCAAGCUUCAUUCUCGAGGAGCGGGGCCAAUUAAGUAAAGGCCCUCGAGAUUGGAAUCAAGCAUGUUGGUGAUGAAUUGAGGGAACUGAACUAUAUGUGUGUUAAGCAAAGCAGUUCUGGUCCUCCAUUCGUUGGGCUCUUCGUGACCCUAUCAGUCGGCUUGCCACUAAUACAAUACCCAACAACAACAAAAGAAAGAAAGAAAGUACACCUUCACGCCCUUCUACCGCUUUUUCUGAACGCAAUUACUAGCUUACUGUCCACUUUCCUUCCCCACUUCACCGCCCUGGUCCUCGAUGUAUCGAUGCCUUUCUUUACUUGAUGAGCGGAU